GAUGAAGAACGUAGCGAAAUGCGAUAAGUAAUGUGAAUUGCAGAAUUCAGUGAAUCAUCGAAUCUUUGAACGCACAUUGCGCCCCCCAGUAUUCUGGCGGGCAUGCCUGUUCGAGCGUCAUUUCAACCAUCAAGCCCUGCUUGUGUUGGGGUCCUGCGGCUGCCCGCAGGCCCUGAAAACCAGUGGCGGGCUCGCUAGUCACACCGAGCGCAGUAGCACAUCUCGCUCAGGGCGUGCGGCGGGCUCCAGCCGUUAAAGCACCCACCUUUCGCAAGGUUGAACUCGGAUCAGGUAGGAAUACCCGCUGAACUUAAGCAUAUCAAUAAGCGGAGGA
rnacentral:misc_RNA from 1 species